UAGUUUUACAUCUUGAAUUGUUGAUUGUUUGUUUGAAUUGUGUGUGUGCUAAUUGUUUUUAUUCAUCUUAUUCUUUAUAGAUGACUUCAAAAGAAAAGAUUAGACUCAAGCUUCCAUUCAAGAAAAAUCGCAUCAUUUUACCGCAUAAGGUAACUCAAGCAGCCCAACAGGUACAAGCAAUAGUUGAUCAAUUGCCACUAGAUGUCAAUGCCACUACACCAACCUCACACUAUGUGCGGCAUCCCACCCAACAACUUGUUCAACCUCCUACCCAACAAGCUGCAGUGCUUCCAAUCCAACCUAAUAAGGUGCAUGGUACUGAACCAAUUAUAGUGAUGAUGCCCACACCGAGUUUUGUCCCAGAAGACAAUAUUUCCCUGAUUGCUGAUCAUUCACCGUCACAACCAUUAACAUCUGUUGCCUCACGACAUACUUUAAUUUCAGCUAACCCACCACCUUCAACACAUGUUGCUAUUGGUAAUAAGACUCAAGGGUCACAAUGCUCCAAUUCUAGUCAUGGGGUUGUGCCUGAUGGGAGAAUAAUGAUAUGGCCGGAUGGUCGAGGGUGGUUACCGUGUAGGGUGGCCUCGAGAGCCCUCACCUCAGUCAUUACAUCACAAUAUGUUGAUCCAUAACACGAGCAAAAGCGGCAUAACACGAGGCACGAGAGCCGCGAGAGGAGCUAAGAAAAGUUGAGCAACGUCGACAAGAGUGUUGGAAUCAAAGGAUCAAAAUCCAACAAAGAGGAAGUUCAACAAACAGAGCAACGCACUACAGAAUUACAGAUGCAGCUAGCAACAUUGGCAAAAAGUGUUGCUUCCAUACAGGCUGAGUCAUCCCGUUGUCGUCGUCAUCCAGAUUAUGACGAGGAUGAGUCUAGCGAUGAUGACGGCGAGGAGCAAUACUGGUUUUAGUUUUAGUUUCGUAUAGUAGUUAUGACUACAUAAUUUGUUUAGACUUGUAGGCAUUAUCUAUAUAUAUUUCUACGAUAGUGUCGUUAUGUGUAUUUUAAAACUUAUGGCAGUAACAAUGUGAUUAUUUUGAGAAUCAUUGUAGUGUAAAUUGUCCUUAUUUUGAGACUUAUGGAAGUCAGAAUGUGUAUUUUGAAAACACUAUUUACAUAAUAUUUCACUUUGUUUUGACAA